UACGUAGGGGGCGAGCGUUGUCCGGAGUUACUGGGCGUAAAGCGCACGCAGGCGGUCUGCUAAGUUUGGAGUGACAGUUGGUGGCUUAACUGCCAAAGUGCUUCGAAAGCUGACAGACUUGAGGGCUUCAGAGGGACACGGAAUUCCGGGUGGAGUGGUGAAAUGCGUAGAGAUCCGGAGGAACGCCAAAGGCGAAGGCAGUGUCCUGGGGAGUACCUGACGCUCAGGUGCGAAAGCUAGGGGAGCGAACAGG
rnacentral:rRNA from 1 species